GAAUAGCAGGGGAGACAAUUAAGGUUUGAAUGAGUCAGCUGAUGAGUAUAUAUGCUUAGGAGUUGAGGAAGUUAUUAUAUAAAGCAUAUCCCCCAACCUAUCAUGGGACUCCAGAAGCAGAAUUAUUAGGCAAGAGGAGUGUUCUCUCUAACCAAUCUGUUGUAGAAGGGAAUUUCGAGGUCUUGGUGUGUAAGGCUCGCUAAGUGGAAGGAGACAAACCUUGGGACAGAAGAGAAACCAAGGGGAAAAAAAGCCUCCAAGGAAGCCUAGUGAUGACUCUGAAGAGAAAUAAAGGGGGCUACAAGUGCCAUCGAUGUGGCAGUACACAACACUUUAUUUGUGACUGUCCAUUCGAAGGAUGGGGAGCAACAAAAGAAGCUAGGUCUUAUUUUGUAAAUGGAGAGACUGAUAUAAUCUGCCCUGCUAACUGUGAUGGCCAGUCAUGACCACGUCCACGGCUGCAGACCGCUGAACUAGAGAAACAGAAGUGGGAGGCCAGAGGAGAGGAGCUCGAUGGUUAAGAGAAGAGCGAGCUGGAGGUGAAAACCUGAGCAACUGGAAUACACAGUGGAGACGUCGAUCUCUGGCUCCUUGGACGAGACAGGGACCGAGUGCACGGUAGAAGGAUGUCUUCCCAUUCAUGAUGCUUAACAGUUACCAGUGCUGCCGCCCUUUAAAGGAGCGAAGGAGUAUGCUGAAGAAGACUCGUUUGAGGAAUGGGUUGACCGCUUCGAGGAAAUGGCAGUCUAAUGUAGAUGGGACGACCAUAAAAA